rnacentral:rRNA from 1 species
GAUGAAUGCUGGCGGCGUGCCUAACACAUGCAAGUCGAGCGGCAGCGCGAGUAGUUUACUACUUGGCGGCGAGCGGCGGACGGCUGAGUAACGCGUGGGAACGUGCCCCAAAGUGAGGAAUAACUGCCCGAAAGGGUGGCUAAUGCCGCAUAUGAUCUUCGGAUUAAAGUCUUCGGACGCUUUGGGAGCGGCCCGCGUCGGAUUAGGUAGUUGGUGAGGUAAUGGCUCACCAAGCCGACGAUCCGUAGCUGGUCUGAGAGGAUGAUCAGCCAGACUGGGACUGAGACACGGCACAGACUCCUACGGGAGGGAGCAGUGAGGAAUCUUCCAAAAUGGGCGAAAGCCUGAUGGAGCAACGCCGCGUGAAGGAUGAAGGCCCUCGGGUUGUAAACUUCUUUUAUAAGUGAAGAAUAUGACGGUAACUUAUGAAUAAGCACCGGCUAACUACGUGCCAGCCGCCGCCGUAA